UGUAAUGGUGCCGCUGUUGUCAGUGUCCAUACCCUUGAACAUCUGCUUCAAUCCCAUGAUUUCUUCCUCUGACAGGCAGCCCGCGAUGACCUAUAUUCGGAUUCAUAUGCGAAUCAGUGGAAAAUACAGGCCAGGCGAAAUGGAUGGCCAUGGAUCGCUUGUAAAGUCUAUAUGACCUCGCAGAAUUGCCUUGAAUAUUCCAUUUUCGGAUUCUGUCAAAAGCAUGUUUUGGUUUCAGUGUCAUGCAGAUAUACGAUCGAUUUUAUAGUGUUUUCUAGAGGUAGCUUUAUGAUUGAGUGAAAGAAUAUAACCUGCCCAAAAUGGUGGAACACCAGAUAGAAGAAUGUAUAGCAUGACACCAAUACUCCAAAUGUCAACUUCUGGACCAUAUUUCCUCUUCAAGACCUCUGGUGCAAUGUAAUAUGCGCUUCCAACAAUGUCCUUAAACAGCUCUCCUGUUAAAAGGAUUCCAUUGUUUAGCAGAAAUCUUCCCAAACAGAAGUUCUAUCAAGACGAGGCACAGAUAAAUGUGACUGCUAUAUAUAAUCUCAGAGAUCCCAGAAAUUGAAUUGAAUGAAAGCUGAUAAGAAUUGAAAGAGAAGCAGAAGAAGAGAGAAGGGUGAGAUGAUGAUUAUUGACCUUGCUUGUAAAAAACUGAGAGACCGAAAUCGGUUGCCUUGAGAGGUGCAUUUUCCUCCUUGCUGGCGAGAAGGAAAUUUUCAGGCUUAAGAUCUCUGUGAAUGACUCCCAUGGAAUGGCAGGUGUGGACAAUCUGGACGAUGGUUCUCAAGAGGGAAGCUGCUGCACGUUCAGUGUAAUGUCCCUUUGCAAUGAUGCGAUCAAAAAGCUCACCCCCAGCACACAACUCCAUAACCAAAUGAACAGAUUGCUUGUCUUCAAAAACACUGACAAGCUCCACAAUGUUGGGCUGCCCUGAGAGAUGGCAUAUUGCUUUCCUGUGCUCUUGUGUGUGCACAAAUGUGUGACACCAAACUGGCCUCUCCCCAGCUCUUUCCCCAUGCUGUAAGUACUUCUAACAUCCUCCAUUGGCCUUCCAAGAACAGGCCCAAUGGGGGCAGGCUUGGAGUGUUUGGUGGGAGGAUGAUUAGGCUUAGAUUGUGGUGGGGUGGUUGCCGUUCCCCCUUGGUUGUCGUUCUGUUGGUUGGUUUCUCCCUUGUUUUCAGAAUCAUUGGUGCCACCUGAGCAACAGUUGCCCAUGGUGGAAUGGAAGGGAGAACAGGAACAAAAGGGGUGGAGGGAAAAGAAAGGAUGUGAGUUGAUAGAUAUAGGUGAAGGUGGUCUGAUUUGAGGGCUGAAAAAUUAUGUUGUAUUUGUUUUCUGGAGAGAAGGUGUUAGCAUGAGGGAGGGGAAGUGUCUGUUGUUGGAAAAGAGGUAAAAAAAAUUGUCUAAAAAAAAGGUAUGGGGAAAUUUGAAAGGGGUGUUGGUGAAGAGAAUUAGAGGGAGCAAAUUAAGACUCUUUGGCUUGGAAAUGCCUCACCUUUUUAUUCAGACAAUGGUGGCCAGCAUUUCUCGGAACAGGUGGGAGCUGAGAAGGAACCAUUUGAAGGGGUCCAUGCAUAAAUGAGUAAGCCAAAAAUGAGAAUGAUGGCCCCUGUCAUAAAACCUGCUGGAAGAGACGAGGCAACACCAAGGUAUGGCAAUGGCAUGGUGAACACAUAGAUUGAUAUUGGAACUGCCACAACACAGAGCCACAUUCUAUCAAUUGGGUCCAUACAAUAAUUUCAUCAAACAGCUUGCAUACCUGAAAAUGUGGAAGCAAGACAAGAUACAACAGCUGAAGAGAUUUUGAGGAGAUGAAGCAGUGCAAUGUUGAAACCUAUGUUUACAAUAAUAAACAACAGAGGCAGCAGAGGAGCACCAUCACAUCCUGCACCAGAAAACCCUUUCUUUCAUCACCAUUGUCACAAAAAUAGCAAGACUAGAAAACAAGGAUUUUUAAGUCUGCUCAUCAAAUUUGAAAUUGGGAGUGAAAUAUUUAGGGAUGAGUUUCCAUGCAAUUUUUCAUCAUUCAUGCUGAAAUUUUCACCCUCGUUUUUAAGUGGACAUUAAACUGAGCAUUAGAAGGUAUGACAAUAUGAAAAGGAAAUG